ACAUGGGGAACUAACCCCAGCUCAGUUCUCCUCUAGAUGUUUAGGUAUCUGGUAGACAUGGGGAACUAACCCCAGCUCAGUUCUCCUCUAGAUGUUUAGGUAUCUGGUAGACAUGGGGAACUAACCCAGCUCAGUUCUCCUCUAGAUGUUUAGGUAUCUGGUAGACAUGGGGAACUAACCCAGCUCAGUUCUCCUCUAGAUGUUUAGGUAUCUGGUAGACAUGGGGAACUAACCCAGCUCAGUUCUCCUCUAGAUGUUUAGGUAUCUGGUAGACAUGGGGAACUAACCCAGCUCAGUUCUCCUCUAGAUGUUUAGGUAUCUGGUAGACAUGGGGAACUAACCCCAGCUCAGUUCUCCUCUAGAUGUUUAGGUAUCUGGUAGACAUGGGGAACUAACCCAGCUCAGUUCUCCUCUAGAUGUUUAGGUAUCUGGUAGACAUGGGGAACUAACCCAGCUCAGUUCUCCUCUAGAUGUUUAGGUAUCUGGUAGACAUGGGGAACUAACCCAGCUCAGUUCUCCUCUAGAUGUGUAGGUAUCUGGUACACAUGGGGAACUAACCCCAGCUCAGUUCUCCUCUAGAUGUUUAGGUAUCUGGUAGACAUGGGGAACUAACCCCAGCUCAGUUCUCCUCUAGAUG